rnacentral:rRNA from 1 species
CCCUUAGAUGUUCUGGGCCGCACGCGCGCUACACUGACGAUGGCAACGAGUUUUUCCUUCGCCGUAAGGUGUGGGUAAUCUUUUGAAACAUCGUCGUGCUGGGGAUAGAUCAUUGCAAUUUUUGAUCUUGAACGAGGAAUUCCUAGUAAGCGCGAGUCAUCAGCUCGCGUUGAUUACGUCCCUGCCCUUUGUACACACCGCCCGUCGCUACUACCGAUUGAAUGGUCUAGUGAGGACUCCUGAUUGGCGCCGCCGCCCCGGCAACGGAGCAGCGGACUGCCGAAAAGUUGUUCAAACUUGAUCAUUUAGAGGAAGUAAAAGUCGUAACA